CUGACUUAAACAAAACAACAAAGUUUAAAACAGAAAACCCUAAUUAGAGGGGAGGGGCGGCCGCUUUCCAUAGCAAACCCUAAAUAGCAAACCCAUUCAGUGAUUAACAAAGCUGAGAAAUCGUUCAUGAGCAAAACUUUAAUGUUACUUUUCAGCCCCAAACCACCUCCUUCCUUACCCAUUCUAUGUUCCUACGAUUUUGAAAGUAGAUGGGGGAAAUGUGACAGUUGCAUCGACGGGAAAGGAGGAAAAUGAGGACGAACAAGGAAACAACGACGAUGGCCACAACGCCAACGGCGACGGCGGCCACAACGCCAACGCCAACGGUGACGGCGGCCGCAACGACCACGACGACAACGUUUUCGACGAUGACAGCAUGUCGCAGUUACAAAGCAAAGGUCAAUGGCACUGCAUCUGAAACAGAAAGGCAGCAACAAAACAGAGCCAAACACUGCAUUAGAAACAGAGAGGCAACAACAACAACAAAACAGAGCCAAAGGCUUAAUUUG